rnacentral:rRNA from 1 species
AGUUUGAUCCGUGGCUCAGACGAACGCUGGCGGCAUGCCUAACACAUGCAAGUCGAACGAGACCUUCGGGUCUAGUGGCGCACGGGUGCGUAACGCGUGGGAACCUGCCUUUAGGUUCGGAAUAACUCAGAGAAAUUUGAGCUAAUACCAUAUAAUGUCUUCGGACCAAAGAUUUAUCGCCCUGAGAUAAGCCCGCGUAGGAUUAGCUAGUUGGUGGGGUAAAGGCUCACCAAGGCGACGAUCCUUAGCUGGUCUGAGAGGAUGAUCAGCCACACUGGGACUGAGACACGGCCCAGACUCCUACGGGAGGCAGCAGUGGGGGAAUAUUGGACAAUGGGCGAAAGCCUGAUCCAGCAAUGCCGCGUGAGUGAUGAAGGCCUUCGGGUUGUAAAGCUCUUUUACUCGGGACGAUAAUGACGGUACCGAGAGAAUAAGCCCCGGCUAACUCCGUG